AGAGAGAGACAUGCGCGCAUAUCAAUAAGCGGAGGAAAAGAAACUAACAAGGAUUCCCCUAGUAACGGCGAGUGAAGCGGGAAGAGCUCAAAUUUGAAAUCUUAAAGGGUUUCCCUUUACGAAUUGUAGUUUAAAGAAGUGUUUUCUGUUGAGGUUUUGGUAAAAGUUCUUUGGAAUAGGACAUCAUAGAGGGUGAGAAUCCCGUAUUUGACCUUUACUUUCAACUUUGUGAUACACUUUCAAAGAGUCGGAUUGUUUGGGAAUGCAGUCCAAAAUGGGUGGUAAAUUUCAUCUAAAGCUAAAUAUUGGCGAGAGACCGAUAGCGAACAAGUACCGUGAGGGAAAGAUGAAAAGAACUUUGAAAAGAGAGUUAAACAGUACGUGAAAUUGUCAAAAGGGAAGCGUUUGACACCAGUGUUGUUUUUCUGAAAAUCAAUUAAAGAACUGUUUAUGCUAAGCUGUUUAGACUUUAUCAGCUAUACUGUUUAGUUUUGAGCUUUUCUUUAAUGCACUUUUCAGUUAACAAGUCAACAUCAAUUUCUUUUGCUGUAAAAAAGCUUGAGGAAGGUGGCUUGAGAUUCGUCUUAAGUGUUUAUAGCCUCUUGCCUAUGCAGUCGGAGAGAUUGAGGUCUGCAGCGUAGAUCCUUCGGGGCUAAAUGCAUUUGUGCUAAGUUAUAGCAUUUUAUAGACAACUUGUUGACUAUGAUUUGUCUUGUAGCUUACUCGCUUAUGUUAUUUUACCUACGCUUAGGAUGUUGAGCGCAUGUCUCUCUCU
rnacentral:rRNA from 1 species